rnacentral:rRNA from 1 species
UGGGGAAUAUUGGACAAUGGGCGAAAGCCUGAUCCAGCAAUACCGCGUGUGUGAAGAAGGCCUUCGGGUUGUAAAGCACUUUAAGUUGGGAAGAAAAAGCUUCACCUAAUACGUGAAGCCUUGACGGUACCGACAGAAUAAGCACCGGCUAACUCUGUGCCAGCAGCCGCGGUAAUACAGAGGGUGCUAGCGUUAAUCGGAUUUACUGGGCGUAAAGCGUGCGUAGGCGGUUUGAUAAGUCGAUUGUGAAAGCCCCGGGCUCAACCUGGGAAUUGCGGUCGAUACUGUCAGACUAGAAAACGGUAGAGGGAGGUGGAACUCCAGGUGUAGCGGUGAAAUGCGUAGAUAUCUGGAAGAACACCGAUGGCGAAGGCAGCCUCCUGGGCCUGUUUUGACGCUGAGGCACGAAAGCGUGGGUAGCAAACAGGAUUAGAUACCCCCGUAGUCC